GCCGGGCGUGGUGGCAUGUGCCUGUAGUCCCAGCUACUUGGGAGGCUGAGGCAGGAGGAUUGCUUGAGCCUAGGAGUUCUGAGCUGCAGGGCGCUAUGCUGAUCGGUGUCUGCACUAAGUUGGGCAUCAAUAUGGUGACCUUCUGGGAGCGGGGAACCACCAGGUUGACUAAAGAGGGAUGAACCGGCCCAGGUCGGCAAGGGAGGAGGUCAAAGCUCCCAUGCUGAUCAGUAGUGGGAUUGCGCUUGUGAAUAGCCACUGCACUCCAGCCUGGGCAACACAGCGAGACCCCAUUCCU
rnacentral:SRP_RNA from 1 species